GCAAGUGACAAACCCUAUUUCCCCACAGUCGCUUUUUCCUUCAAGUUCAUUAUCAAACAGCUGUUUAUGGCUUACCUGUAUUCAAAAAUUUCCUCUUUCUCUCUCCGUUUCAGAUCCGGCUUAGUGGUUUUCCAUGGCUCUAACCUUAACUCCAAUCAACAAUAUAUCCUCUCUAACACCUUCUCCAAUGGUUCGAACUUCUAUAAAAGCAAGCCGAAAGAUCGAUAAAAUAGAUCAACACUCCAGCGAAACAAACUCGGUGAAGGCUUACUUCUUGGAAUGUAUAAGGUUGUAAAGUUGAAGGAGCUCUUCAAUACGAGGAGACAACUACCAAGUAUAAUUGAAUCAAAAUUGGAAUUUCAGAUCAAGUUCCAAACAAAAGCUAUGGAGAAUGGACUAAUGGAGCUAGUGGAAUUGAUAACAAUAAGAACAAGCAAUGAUUUCAUUAUUUUCAUCAGCAAUAGGAACACAACGAACGUAACAACAGAAGGCAACAAUUUCUUAAACAUCUAAGGAGGAGUCAGCCAUUGAAGAGCUGAAGAGUUAGGCAAAGUUUGAAAAAAAAAA